GUUUUCUACUCUGAACUUCGAUACGGCAAAAAUGGCUUCAGAGAAGAAGCUAUCUAAUCCUAUGCGCGAUAUCAAAGUCCAAAAACUUGUUCUCAACAUCUCCGUUGGUGAAAGUGGUGACCGUCUUACCAGAGCCGCCAAGGUGCUCGAACAACUCAGUGGCCAAUCUCCAGUCUUCUCCAAGGCUCGGUACACCGUUCGGUCGUUUGGGAUCCGGCGUAACGAAAAAAUUGCAUGUUAUGUGACCGUGA
rnacentral:misc_RNA from 1 species